UACGAAGGGUGCAAGCGUUACUCGGAAUUACUGGGCGUAAAGCGUGCGUAGGUGGUUUGUUAAGUCUGUUGUGAAAUCCCCGGGCUCAACCUGGGAAUUGCGUUGGAGACUGCAAGGCUAGAAUCUUGGCAGAGGGGGGUAGAAUUCCACGUGUAGCAGUGAAAUGCGUAGAGAUGUGGAGGAACACCGAUGGCGAAGGCAGCCCCCUGGGUCAAGACUGACGCUCAUGCACGAAAGCGUGGGGAGCAAACAGG
rnacentral:rRNA from 1 species